CUGGCGGCGUGCUUACACAUGCAAGUCGAACGGUGAAGCAGAGCUUGCUCUGCGGAUCAGUGGCGAACGGGUGAGUAACACGUGAGCAAUCUGCCCCUGACUCUGGGAUAACAGCUGGAAACAGCUGCUAAUACCGGAUACGAGCUGCGAAGGCAUCUUCAGCAGCUGGAAAGAGUUUCGGUCAGGGAUGAGCUCGCGGCCUAUCAGCUUGUUGGUGAGGUAACGGCUCACCAAGGCGUCGACGGGUAGCCGGCCUGAGAGGGUGACCGGCCACACUGGGACUGAGACACGGCCCAGACUCCUACGGGAGGCAGCAGUGGGGAAUAUUGCACAAUGGGCGAAAGCCUGAUGCAGCAACGCCGCGUGAGGGACGACGGCCUUCGGGUUGUAAACCUCUUUUAGCAGGGAAGAAGCGAAAGUGACGGUACCUGCAGAAAAAGCGCCGGCUAACUACGUGCCAGCAGCCGCGGUAAUACGUAGGGCGCAAGCGUUAUCCGGAAUUAUUGGGCGUAAAGAGCUCGUAGGCGGUUUGUCGCGUCUGCUGUGAAAACCCGAGGCUCAACCUCGG
rnacentral:rRNA from 1 species